AGCUAGUUGGUGAGGUAAUGGCUCACCAAGGCGACGAUCAGUAGGGGUUCUGAGAGGAAGGUCCCCCACACUGGCACUGAGAUACGGGCCAGACUCCUACGGGAGGCAGCAGUAGGGAAUAUUGGGCAAUGGACGAGAGUCUGACCCAGCCAUGCCGCGUGCAGGAAGAAGGCGUUCUGCGUUGUAAACUGCUUUUAUCUGGGAAGAAAAGGCCCAUGCGUGGGACAUUGCCGGUACCAGAUGAAUAAGCACCGGCUAACUCCGUGCCAGCAGCCGCGGUAAUACGGAGGGUGCAAGCGUUGUCCGGAUUUAUUGGGUUUAAAGGGUGCGUAGGCGGUUGAUUAAGUCAGCGGUGAAAGUUUUGGGCUCAACCCAGAAAUUGCCAUUGAUACUGGUCGACUUGAGUAUUGCAGGGGUACAUGGAAUUGAUGGUGUAGCGGUGAAAUGCAUAGAUACCAUCAGGAACACCGAUAGCGAAGGCAUUGUACUGGGCAACCACUGACGCUGAUGCACGAAAGCAUGGGGAGCGAACAGGAUUAGAUACCCUGGUAGUCCAUGCCGUAAACGAUGAUUACUCGCUGUUAUGCUCUAGUAGUGUAGCGGCCAAGCGAUAGCGUUAAGUAAUCCACUGGGUAGUACGCUCGCAAGGGUUGAAACUCAAGUAUUGACGGGGUCCGCACAGCGGUGGACAUGUGUUUAAUUCGAUGAUACGCGAGGAACCUUACUGGCCUAGAAUGUGAGAAUGUUAAGAGAUAGAUCAUAACAAUGACCUG
rnacentral:rRNA from 1 species